UACGGAGGAUCCAAGCGUUAUCCGGAAUCUUUGGGUUUAAAGGGUCCGUAGGCGGUUUAAUAAGUCAGUGGUGAAAUCUGGUCGCUCAACGAUCAAACGGCCAUUGAUACUGUUAGACUUGAAUUAUUGGGAAGUAACUAGAAUAUGUAGUGUAGCGGUGAAAUGCUUAGAUAUUACAUGGAAUACCAAUUGCGAAGGCAGGUUACUACCAAUGGAUUGACGCUGAUGGACGAAAGCGUGGGGAGCGAACAGG
rnacentral:rRNA from 1 species